GAAUACGAUUUGUUGAAGAAAUGGGCUUCUGAAAAUUUUCUUAAAAUUCGAUUCAUUCUAAUUCGACUUUUCGGUCAAAAUGUCGUGUGCAGUGAAAUGGUGUAGAAAUACGACGAGAUUUGGGCCCGAAGGAAUCAGUUUUCACCGACUUCCAAAAGGUGAUUUGAUGGCUGUGUGGAAAGCUGUUUUAGGCUUGAAUCUUGGAUGAAAAGUGGCAGUGGACAGAAUUUGUAACAGAAAGAGAACUAUAGAACAGACUUGACAUUUCAGUGUCACUCAAUGCUACCAAUACAAAAACUUUCAUUUAAAAACCCUGUUUUUAUUUUCUUGCCAAGACACGCAAAUGGGUGUUUUCAAAACGAUUUGAACGAUUGGAAAAUCACUAAUUUUAGACGGAGGCCGAAAAAGGAAGUCAAAUUUGAUAUGACGGAAAUAAUGCAUGAAAUGUACGGUGAAAACGAUGCAAAACCAGUGUCGAACAUUUGCGGAUCAGGUAUUGUGAGUUCUACUCGGGGGCGAAGUCCCCGACAAUUUCGAAUCAGGUAGUGUGAGUACUAUUCGGGGACAAAGCCCACAACAAUGUCGACAUUUGCGAAGCAAAUCUACUUGAGGAACGAAGCCCCCACAUUUUUCAAAUACGAGUUCUACACGAGGAGCGAGGGGCUGUCCCAACGACUACUUCCACAAAACAUUUGCAAAUCCGGGAGGAUUUGCCCGAUAUAGCUAGUUAUGGUUUAAUUGUUGCAAAUAAGUCCCUCGUAAAAUUAUAUGACUGUCUUAUCUCUAAUGUCACGCAACACAAUAAACGCUCCAAUUUUAUGAGAGACAAAUGAAAUGUGCUCACUAUGUAUACACCCAGUUGUACAAUAGGAUAAUCUACGUUGUGACAACAGAUUUUUCAAGGCAAGUAUGGAAAACGCGCAAAACUACCUUUUCCUGUAAAAUUUCCAUUCGUCAUAAAUUAACAUUUUAGAUCCCAAACCAGCGAUGCGAAUUUUCUACUCUAUCUAACAAGUUUUAUCUUAUUUUUGUAUGAAUGGGUUUGCAUUUAUUCCAUGUAAAUUAAGUCUUGUACAAAUUAUGAAAGAAAUAUUUUAUGUCUUGUAAAAUACAUAAAGCUCACUUUUGCUUACAAAGUUAGACUAAAUUGAAUUUAUGAAGCAAACACGAUAAACCCAAUCAAUGAGCUGAAAAUAAAAUUGGUAAGUAUGAAUGGAUAUUGUGGCGAAUUUUGUAAACUAGGGGUGGCACUAAAAGAUAAAACUAACAUAAAAUUGGAAAACAAGAUUGUUAAAAUCUUGCAGAAUGCUAAAACCACCAAGAACAAUUUUUAUUUAGAAAAAAAAAGUAUUUUUAUUUCAAAUAUCUAUCCAUAGAUAAGGCAGGGAUCUUUGACCUAAAAUAACAGACCCGAAAUCGAAAGAAAUUUCAUUUCUUGUUUCUCAUAUAAUUCUUUUGUCUUUUGUUCCUUCUCUAUUACAAAAACAGACAUUGUAUGUAUAAAAAUGAUGAAAUAAUUAAUUUUGGUUUAGAAUAAGUUUAAACAAUUCAAUUUAUAAUUCAAUCAAGCUGCUCCACUCGUACUCUGGAAAGAUUUUUUUAACGUUUAUUUUUAACACCAACAAAACUCUAAAGUGAAAUUUCCCCAACGUGGGUGUAGAUGAUUAGUGCACGUCCUGAGAUUUGCAUUUACUUGAAACAAGUUAGAAAUUCAAAUUCACAAGCAAAAGUUAAUUAGCUAUGUAUGUACAUACACGUCUAGAUUGAAUAGUCUGGCCAAUGUUUACAUUAUCUCCCUAUUCACAUUAAAAAUUCAUUUAUUCGCUCUUAGAAAAAUAUAGAAUGGAACACUUGGUAAUGCCACUUUUUCCGGCUUCCAAAUUCCCUACGUGUCGAUUAAGAACACGCUCGCUUUUUUUUCCCGACUUUUUCCUCGAUUAGGUCAAGAAUCGAAUUAUUUCCACCACUGUCUCAACCGAAAUUUAUCAAGUUAUCGCCUGUUAAAAAGCAAUUUCAAAUAAAUGCUAAAUGUACACUGUCUGAAUUGUAAAUUUUUCCCUUUGGGGCAGAUUUGAAUAAAUCCGAAUGAAUAGAGCGCACCGAGAAUGAAAUUUAGCAGAAAAAUUGGUUAGUUUGAAUUUUUACACCCUGAUGGGAUUUUAACCGGAUCCACUUCCAAUAGUGCCCGAUCUAGCUUUUUUUUUAAAUCAAAUAUCAAGUGAUUUAAAUAUAAAAUUCACUUAAAUUACGGUUGAAUUAAGCCCCCUCGUUUUUUUUUUAAUAAACUUUAUUCGGUACAUAACGGAUCAUUUAACAAAAAUGAUAAAUCUUCCGAGUUGAAGCAUUGCAAAAAAACCGACAAUUUUUGACUAAACUUCAGCCAAUAAAACCAAGACAGGUAAAACGUAUUGGGCUAUUCUGCAUCUGUUAUGCACCUGGCACACCUUGAAGUAUCAAAUUAUUGUCCAAAUUGGAAUUUAUUUUAAUGCAAACUCAUUGCAAAUGUUUGUUUACUCACAAAGUAGUUUCUUUGAUAAAAAAAUGUUAUUAAAACAAUGUUAUUGAUGUGUUUAUUGUAAUGGGGGUGGAGCUUCUGAACUAUUUAUCUAACAGACAGUUGGCACGGGUGCACCACCUCCACGAUAGGGAUUUCCCGUGCCGUGUUUACCAUCUGCAUAUAGUUGCUGCUUCAAAUAGGGAGCUUUACGUAUGAGGGGUGUUAUAAUUGCACGCUUGUUGCCAUUUUUUUAAAUUAAUAAACAUCAAAUUUUAAAAUAUUGCUUCUCAACAAUUUUAUUUAUUUUUUCGUCCCGCUUCUAUUUUUCUGUUCUCCUUUUACUAUUCCUUUUAUACCUUUUUACUCUUUUUUUAUUCUUUAUCUCAAUUUUUUUCUAUAAAAUAAGUUACCCUAAUUUGUUCUAUUCUAUAUGUUUCGUUCCCUGUCUCGUUAUUCAAGGCGAUAAACAAAAAUUAGAAAAUUCUUACACAAGACAAUUUUUAUUUACAGGGGGCACCUUUUAAUGUUCUUUCAAAAUUUGUAGUACCUACCCCUUUGAUAAUACAGACAACCCCUUCAAAACUUUAAAUGGCACCACCCCUUUUGUGGUACUUUAACUGAAAAUUAUUUUGACCAAAAAUUCGGCUGUGUUCUGUUUGAAUUUUGAGUAUUUUUUAUUUACAUUACGCAGAACAAGCUACCUGACCAUUUUGAAUAGCCCUGAUAAUUUUUUUUCGUUUUUUUCAUAACAAAAAAUAUCAGUUUAAAUUUAGUUUAACUGUAUUUUAUGCAUUUCAUACUUCGUAUUACGAACAACUGAGCACCAUGUAACCUAAUAAAAAACAAUCGAAAGUUAAAAAAACACAAAACCGAAAUCCUGAUCAAAAUAUCUUUUAUUUGAACUAUUACGUACCAAAACGGUAGGUACUACAAAUUUUGAAAGUACACUAAAA